UCGGGAAUUUUGGGCAAUGGGCGAAAGCCUGACCCAGCAACGCCGCGUGAGGGAUGAAGUAUUUCGGUAUGUAAACCUCGAAAGAAUGGGAAGAGUAAAUGACGGUACCAUUUAUAAGCUCAGGCUAACUACGUGCCAGCAGCCGCGGUAAUACGUAGGGAGCAAGCGUUGUUCGGAUUUACUGGGCGUAACGGGCGCGUAGGCGGCGCGGUAAGUCACGUGUGAAAUCUCUGAGCUUAACUCAGAACGGCCAAGUGAUACUGCUGUGCUAGAGUGCGGAAGAGGCAACCGGAAUUCUUGGUGUAGCGGUGAAAUGCGUAGAUAUCAAGAGGAACACCUGAGGCGAAGGCGGGUUGCUGGGCCGACACUGACGCUGAUGCGCGAAAGCCAGGGGAGCAAACG
rnacentral:rRNA from 1 species